GGAGUUCGAUUAAGCCAUGCGAGUCGUGAGUCUUAGGGACUCGGCAUACUGCUCAGUAACACGUGGAUAACCUGCCCUAUCGUCUGGAAUAACCUCGGGAAACUGAGUAUAAGGCCGGAUAGUUCACAAUGCCUGGAACGGUUUGUGAAUCAAGGUAGGAUGGGUCUGCGGCGUAUCAGGUUGUAGGGGGUGUAAAGGACCCCCUAGCCUUCGACGCGUACGGGUGUUGGGAGACAUAGCCCGGAGAUGGAUUCUGAGACACGAAUCCAGACCCUACGGGGUGCAGCAGGCGCGAAAACUUCACACUGCAGGAAACUGUGAUGAGGGAACUCCUAGUGCAUGCACUAUGUGUAUGUAGAUCCUACUCUUAACAAGUAGAGGGAAAGGGCUGGGAAAGACCGGUGCCAGCCGCCGCGGUAAUACCGGCAGCUCAAGUGGUCGUCGCUUUUAUUGGGCCUAAAACGUCCGUAGCCUGUUUGGUAAAUCUGUGUGUAAAUCAAUCCGCUCAACGGAUUAAU
rnacentral:rRNA from 1 species